CCGAGUUCAAGUUCAAACCAACUCAAACCAGAGCAACCCAAGCCUCCAAAUCCUUGCUAAACCUUCCUCUCAGCCUCCUAAAGCCUUCCCUAACCUCUUCUCCGCCCAACAACCACUUGAGAUAGCCCAACCGAGCUCAAGAAAUUCCGAAACUUUGAGCUCUCGGUUCUCCCUCAAAUCUCCAUCAAUUUUGUCAAACCAAGAGUCUAUUUUGCUUAGAAUUUCACCAGGAAGCUAUUCGUGCAAGAAUUUUGAAGUUUGGAGGUCUAGAUUUCAUUCUGCCAUUGUUGUUGAGCUCCUCACCGGAAAAGCUUCACGGUGCUCAUCGUUCUGGCCAAACCAGAGACCUUUUCAGCUACCCACCUAUACCAUUGAGUUCCUGGGAGUGAGAGGAAGCUUUUCCAAUCGGUUUCCACCCUUAACUCCACCCUUCCGCCGGAGCGCCGCCGCCAGCCACCGUCUUCUCCGGCGAGCUCACCGGAAAACUGCUCAGAACUUGGAUUUUCUUGCAUAGUUCGAAUCCUUGUCUUCCAUAGGUUCCAUAUACAUAUUUGGUUCGGAAAAAUUAACUUGGUUUGAUAGGGUUUCAAGAGGAAAGAAGAUAAUUAUUAAUUGGAGGAUUUUUCCGAAGAAAGGGACGGAGAUCGAGGAGAAAGAACUAGAAUGAAAAAGUGACCAAGGCAGGAAGAGCUGUAAAUAGUUGUGAAUAUACGAGAGUGUUCGAGUAGAAUAAAGACCAGCCGAUGGAAGAAGACGUGUGCGACUGGACUCGUACUCUAUCAGACUGUAAAAUAAGUAUGAAAGCAGUGGGUUUUUUGUAAUUAAGUUUGUCAAAGUAAUCGGGAAAGAUUCAGAGGAGUCCAUGCGAGACUCUGGGAUGUCUUGUCUAAGGAAAGGAAUCGCUUUUAAUGACGCUUAGCGCGGCUAACUUUCCUGGAGACAUUCUCAAACUAUCAAUUGGACAACGAUGAAUUCUGACCCAAAGGUCUUGUACUUUUUUUCAAAGUUCAUAAAUAAAAGUGUUGUUUUCUGAA